CCUACGGGUGGCAGCAGUGGGGGAUAUUGCACAAUGGGGGAAACCCUGAUGCAGCGACGCCGCGUGAGUGAAGAAGUAUUUCGGUCUGUAAAGCUCUAUCAGCAGGGAAGAAAAUGACAGUACCUGACCAAGAAGCCCCGGCUAACUACGUGCCAGCAGCCGCGGUAAUACGUAGGGGGCAAGCGUUAUCCGGAUUUACUGGGUGUAAAGGGGGCGUAGACGGUUAUGUAAGUCUGGAGUGAAAGCCCGGGGCCCAACCCCGGGACUGCUUUGGAAACUGUGUAACUGGAGUACAGGAGGGGCAGGCGGAAUUCCUGGGGUAGCGGUGAAAUGCGUAGAUAUCAGGAGGAACACCGGCGGCGAAGGCGGCCUGCUGGACUGAAACUGACGUUGAGGCUCGAAAGCGUGGGGAGCAAACAGGAUUAGAUACCCUUGUAGUC
rnacentral:rRNA from 1 species